AACGAACGCUGGCGGCAUGCCUAACACAUGCAAGUCGAACGAGACCUUCGGGUCUAGUGGCGCACGGGUGCGUAACGCGUGGGAACCUGCCCUUAGGUUCGGAAUAACUCCCCGAAAGGGGUGCUAAUACCGGAUAAUGUCUUCGGACCAGAGAUUUAUCGCCUUUGGAUGGGCCCGCGUUGGAUUAGCUAGUUGGUAGGGUAAAAGCCUACCAAGGCGACGAUCCAUAGCUGGUCUGAGAGGAUGAUCAGCCACACUGGGACUGAGACACAGCCCAGACUCCUACGGGAGGCAGCAGUGGGGAAUAUUGGACAAUGGGCGAAAGCCUGAUCCAGCAAUGCCGGGUGAGUGAUGAAGGCCUUAGGGUUGUAAAGCUCUUUUACCCGGGAUGAUAAUGACAGUACCGGGAGAAUAAGCUCCGGCUAACUCCGUG
rnacentral:rRNA from 1 species